rnacentral:misc_RNA from 1 species
UUCUUUCUUUCUUUCUUUCUUUUUGCUUCUAAUCUAAUAUUUGGUUUCUCAUUACACUCGAGGGGUAGUCAGAGGAUAGAAACAACAAAAGUAUAUCGGGGAAGAAGAAAAGAGAGUAUAGUGAAGUUAGCCAAAAGCCAGUUGUAAUGUAAAAUGAUGGGGUGAAAUUAAUUUUUUUUACAAAAAGUUUUUUGAAAACUGAAUUUAAUUUAUUAAUUACAAGAGCAAUCUUUUGUCAUCCUUUAGUGCUGGCUUGAAGUGGGUAUUUGCUGUUUUCUUGGUUUUGUUUUCG